rnacentral:rRNA from 1 species
GUUGAACGCUGGCGGCGUGCCUAACACAUGCAAGUCGAGCGAACAGACGAGGAGCUUGCUCCUCUGACGUUAGCGGCGGACGGGUGAGUAACACGUGGAUAACCUACCUAUAAGACUGGGAUAACUUCGGGAAACCGGAGCUAAUACCGGAUAAUAUAUCGAACGGCAUGGAUCAUUAGUGAAAGACGGUUUUGCUGUCACUUAUAGAUGGAUCCGCGCCGCAUUAGCUAGUUGGUAAGGUAACGGCUUACCAAGGCGACGAUGCGUAGCUGACCUGAGAGGAUGAUCAGCCACACUGGAACUGAGACACGGUCCAGACUCCUACGGGAGGCAGCAGUAGGGAAUAUUCGACAAUGGGCGAAAGCCUGACGGAGCCACGCCGCGUGAGUGAUGAAGGUCUUCGGAUCGUAAAGCUCUGUUAUUAGGGAAGAACAGAUGUAUAUGAAUCUCUGGACGUCUUGACGGUACCUAAUCAAUAAGCCACGGCUAACUUCGUG